GUUAGCUUGUACUAGCUAGUUGCGUUAAUGGUGUGUGAUUAGUGGUGAAGCAGCUACUGCUGGUUGCAUCCCUCCAUGUGACGUCUCCGCCUUCUUCCUCUACUCAAAUCUCAGGCUGCUUCCACUCAUCUGAGCCUAUUGCUGCUCUCCACAGAUAAUUGGGUUGUCUUGUCAUGUCAUCUUUGGUUCCUCAACCCCACCACCUCCAAAUGUGGAAAACAAAUGUCACCGAAGCCCUCAGAAACCCUUCAGAACCUAGGACAGCGAACAUUUUCUGUUCAUAAGGUUGCGGAAGGAAGUCAUCUUGGUGACGUCGUACACGAAGACCACUGCGUGGACAUUGCGGUAGUAGUGUUCCACCAUGGAUUUACGAAAGCGCUCCUGGCCUGCUGUGUCCCAUACCUGCACCUGUAGAGAAA